rnacentral:rRNA from 6 species
UGACCUCAAAUCAGGUAGGACUACCCGCUGAACUUAAGCAUAU